AGCGAACGCUGGCGGCGUGCUUAACACAUGCAAGUCGAGCGGUGAACCACUUCGGUGGGGAUCAGCGGCGAACGGGUGAGUAACACGUGGGCAACCUGCCCCUAGCACUGGGAUAACCCCGGGAAACCGGGGCUAAUACCGGAUAUGACUCUGAGCGGCAUCUCUCAGAGUGGAAAGAUUUAUCGGCUAGGGAUGGGCCCGCGGCCUAUCAGCUUGUUGGUGGGGUGAGGCCUACCAAGGCGACGACGGGUAGCCGGCCUGAGAGGGCGACCGGCCACACUGGGACUGAGACACGGCCCAGACUCCUACGGGAGGCAGCAGUGGGGAAUCUUGCGCAAUGGGCGAAAGCCUGACGCAGCGACGCCGCGUGAGGGAUGACGGCCU
rnacentral:rRNA from 1 species